rnacentral:rRNA from 2 species
GUUAAGCGACUAAGCGUACACGGUGGAUGCCCUGGCAGUCAGAGGCGAUGAAGGGCGUGCUAAUCUGCGAUAAGCGCCGGUAAGGUGAUAUGAACCGUUAUAACCGGCGAUACCCGAAUGGGGAAACCCAGUGUGAUUCGUCACACUAUCAUUAACUGAAUCCAUAGGUUAAUGAGGCGAACCGGGGGAACUGAAACAUCUAAGUACCCCGAGGAAAAGAAAUCAACCGAGAUUCCCCCAGUAGCGGCGAGCGAACGGGGAGGAGCCCAGAGCCUGAAUCAGCAUGUGUG